UCGGCGUGGGCGGAACGGCAGCGGCAGUGCGUCGCCCGCUGGGCACGCCGCGCGCACAGCGCGCAGGCGCUGCCCCAGGCGCGCGCUGCCCCCAUCGCUCGCCUCCUCCUCGCCAGUUUCCGGUGCCGGGCUCCCGCUGGUCGCCCGGAAAGUCUGAAAGCAGCGAUUAAACAGACCAAAGAACAGCAGCGGCCGCGCGGUCGCUGACCUGGGCGCGCUGCGCGCGGUGUGCACGCACCCGCGCGCGCGCCGCCCCUCGGCGCCCGCAGCCCCUCGCUCUCGGUCACCCUCGCCUC
rnacentral:lncRNA from 1 species